AUGGGGUCUCUAUGCGUCUCUAUGGGUCUCUAUGGGUUUAUAUGGGUCUCUAUGGGUCUCUAUGGUUCUCUAUGGGGUCUCUAUGGGGUCUCUAUGGGUCUCUAUGGGUCUCUAUGGUCUCUAUGGGUCCCCAUUGAUCUCUAUGGUCCCCAUUGAUCUCUAUGGGUCCCCAUUGAUCUCUAUGGUGCCCAUUGAUCUCUAUGGUCCCCAUUGAUCUCUAUGGGUCCCCAUUGAUCUCUAUGGUCCCCAUUGAUCUCUAUGGUCCCCAUUGAUCUCUAUGGGUCUCUAUGGGGUCUCCAUUGCUCUCUAUGGCUGUUCCCAGACUGGCGCUCCCCCCGCCCGGGCUCCUUGGGCUGUUCCCGCUCUUUCCACAACCUCUCGCACCCCCCCCGCCCUACGAUGGCCCCGCCCCCCCCGAGCUGGGGAGGUGCACGUCCCUGCGGCGCCUGGGUGAGCCCCGCCCCUCAUUUGCAUACACACCUCAUUUGCAUAUACACCCUCAUUUGCAUACCAACCCUCGUUUGCAUAACACUCCUCAUUUGCAUGCCCUCCCUCGUUUGCAUACCCAUCCUCAUUUGCAUGUAUACCAUCAUUUGCAUGUCCACAAUCAUUUGCAUAGCCAUCCUCAUUUGCAUACACGUUCUCAUUUGCAUACUGCCCAUAAUUUGCAUACCCAUCCUCAUUUGCAUACCCAUCCUCAUUUGCAAACUACUCCUCCUUUGCAUACCCACCUCAUUUGCAUGUCCACCCUCAUUUGCAUGUCUACCCUCAUUUGCGUGCAACUCCUCAUUUGCAUACCUGCCCUUAUUUGUAUACGUUGACCUUAUUUGUACAUGUGACCUUAUUUGUACAUGUGACCUUAGUUACCUGCCUGACCUUAUUUGCAUAUGUGGCCUUACUUAUGUAUGUGCCCUCAUUUGCAUACAUGCCCUGAUUUGCAUACGUGUUCUGAUUUGCAUACGUGUCCUUAUGUACACAGGUGUCUCAUGGACAUACAUGUCCCUAUACACACACACAUGUCCUAUACACACACAUGUCCCUAUA
rnacentral:lncRNA from 14 species